AAUAAGGUAAGCUAAUUUAAGCUAAUGGGUUCAUACCCCUUUUAUGAACGUAAAAUCGUUCCCUUCUUA
rnacentral:tRNA from 1 species